ACUUUUUGCGUUCCAGUUGUCACAUUUUUUUCCUUUGUAAAAAAUUUUCUUGCCUUCCUUCGGAUUGAUGUAAGCAUUAUUUCUAGAGAAAUAUUAUUUCUUAUUCCACCUUUUCUGCUGAUUUGGAAAUUAAUUAGUCUACAUUUUCUUAUCAAUUAGCCUAGAAAUUAUAAUAAGGCUAAUUAAACUGGCACAGUACAAAGCUAAUUAAUAGCUUUACCUUCCUCUCCAACAAUAUAAAGCUCUUAAUUCUUUUUAUUACCAUCAUUCUUCUUCUGAAUAUAGUUGUUAUAAUAUUUUAAUUUCUUUUCUCCUUUUUUCAACCCCAUGAAUCAGGUAUUUUUAUUAUUAUCGCUGCUUUUUGCCAUCAAUACGAGCUUAGAUGUAACCAUCCCAUCUUCUUGAUCACCAUUUCUUCUUCCUUCUGUGACCUUACUUCCGGGGGCAUUUUCUUUCUUUCUGAAGAGCAUACUUUUGAAUUAGGUUAAUGUGUGUCUGUGAGUAAUAAACAUGCUUAGGCUUGCAUAUGUUAGGGUUCAAAUUUUGCACUUAUGCUUGAAAGAUAUCUUUGAACAGUUUUCAGAUGCUGCUUCCCUGUCUUCUGGUUUCCAGUGUGGAUAUAGUGAGCUACUGUCGGUACAAUUAUCCUUCUUCUGUAGGAAAUCUGUCCUUUCUUUCUGAUACUUUUAACGUCUUCUGUUUGUCUUCAGCGGCUUUCAGUUUCACUAGAAGCAUUUCUAGAUAAUAUUGCUUCUUUAAAUUUAUCCUACUUGAGUUAUGUUGGGCUGCCUGAAUUUGAAGACUCAGUUUUUCGUCAGUCCUGGAAAAGUUGGAGACACUGAUACACGUGAAAGGAAGUGACAUGACCAGAGGCCACAGACUGCAGAGCAAAGAUGGGACUGAAGUGGAGCGGGAAUGAAGAUGAGAAAACUGAGACUUGGGGAAGAAACAUGCCAAUGUUGACGCAGGUAGAAGUUGAAACCUUGUGAACGGAGUGCAGUCCAGAUUACAGAAGUGUGGUGAAGAAGAAAGAACAACCUGAAAAAGACAGUGCACUUUAUUUGCUUAAGAAUUACUUCUAAAUAUCUAUUAUGCAGCAGGAACUCAGAUGUACAAUGGGCCCUGUCCUCGUGGAGAUAACAGACUAUUGGGAGAUUCAGUCUUAAUCAAAUAACUAUGUUCAAAGAGGACAGAGGACACAGUGGGAUAAGUGCUUUGAAGGAGAGGAGUAUGGUUUAUGAGAACAUGUAAAAAGGGACCUGGGGUCAAGCAUGAUGUCCUUCAACUUGAGUCAGUUCAAGGAGAUGGGGAGCGUUGGGGAAGAAUUACAGGAGGGGAGGGACGAGCAUGUGCCCAGUUGCUGUGGUGGGAGGGGCAGUAGGAGGAGCCUCAAAGAUGGCCACGCAGGCAUCCUUCUCCCCGCCUGAGCAAUAACCUUUCUUGAGUGGUUUGUGUGUUCUGGGCUCUGAGCUAAGCACUUUAUCAGCAUACAGUAUCUUUUUCAAUGCAGCUUUACUUGCUUAAUACCUAGUCUGUUAAAACUAUCUUUUAAAGCAGUGGAACAUUUUCUCCUAAUGAAGUCUUAGCCUUAGCCAGAAGUUCAAAUUAUAAAACAAACACAAAUAGAGGUGCUUGGGUUGAAGUAGGGCCGAAGAGCCAGUGUCCCUGAGUUCUGGAAUCCCCUUCUCUUCUCUAUGGGGCUGCGAAGGACAGCUUGACGACCAUUAGACUAGGUGGUGAUGACUCCAUCGUGCUUCAAUUUCAAAGGCAAAAUUAAAUUUCUUUCAAUCUAAUUGAGCAAGAGUUCAACUCAGAAUUUGAUUGCGUUCACUGGAAAGAACAGCAAUCUUGGGAAAGUUAGUGAGUUGUUCGUGUUUCAGACUUUCGAACUCAUAGGGUUGUUUUGAGGCUGAAAUUAGGUACUAAUUAGUACAUCGAAUUAGUACAUUAGCAAAUCACACGGAAGAUGCUGAGCACGUGGAGAGUGAUGGGUAAAUGUUAGCUCUCACCGCGAUUGCUAUUACUUGUUUCUGAAUCUAACAGUCAGUGUAAUGGUGGCACUUACAGUUUUCAACGGCUAUUUGACAGGUCUUCACAAGCAUCUAGAAUCGUACGUGAACUUAUUUACACACUGUAAGCUCCUCAUCUCAUGGUUUUAUUGGAGAAUGGUCUCUGUAUUCCUCAUUCUAGCUAUUCAUUGCCACGUGUCUGCCCAGCUUCUCUUGAUCAUGUGCGGUUAGCAUCCACUUCCAGUCUUCCAGGGAGGAAACAAUUAGACUCUAUUUACACAGUUGUUUCACUAUUGCAGGAUACUUUCCCAGCUAGAAUCGGGUAUCGCCUUCUGCCAGGCUCUGGCCACCCACUUCUAGAAACUCUAGGGUGAUGUUUGUGUUGGGCUUAUUUUUAUAUAACAAUAAAGCCAGAUAUUCAUUCAUUUAUUCAUUUCCUUUUACUGAAUUAAAAAAUAGGUCAAAUAAAGGGUAGGCCUCCAGAGGGUUAAAAAUAAUACAAAUUCUACUCUUGGAGGACUCGGGGUCUCACAAGGAAAAUAAGAUAUGUGCCUAGAUGAUCAUAAUACAAAGUAGAAAAUGAUCCUUAUCUAAAAAAUUUUUAGAUAAGUUUUCUCGAGUAGUGAAAGGAUGGAGUGAGAGAAGGCUUUGCAGAGAAGAUGGAGAUGCGGGUAGAUGGUGAACGGCACUCCUGCUUAAGGAAUUAGGGAGAGGAUGUAUGGAGAGUAGAGAGAGAGGGUUUGGCAGGAGCAGAGCAUGUGAGGCUGGCAGUGGAAAUGAGGCUGGCUGGCAAGACUGGGGACAGCAAGUGGAGGGCCUUGAGGGGCAAGUCCAGAAACAGUGCUUUGUUUGCUAGGCAAAGGGAAAGCUGGGGUCAUUUUGAGUAGGAGAUUACCAUAAUUAUGACUGUACUUGAGAAAAAAGGAAUCUGCUGGUGACUUUUAGGAUGGGCUGUGUCUGGGGUGCCUGAUGCCAGGGGGGUUGCAUCAGUGGUCCAGG